rnacentral:lncRNA from 1 species
UCCUCUCCUGAGCGGCCGACAGCUCCGCUCGGAGGGAACUAAUCUUGGUAGCUUGAGCCCAAAUUCGAUCGCUGGCGCACUUUCUGUGUUCCUCGAGCUCCCUCUUGAAGUUCGCCUUUCUCCAGCUGUACUCCAUGAUCCCCUUCAUGUGGAGGUUUCGGAAGUGGGUGGCCUCCGCGACGGCUUCGGAGUGACCCUCCCUCAACAUGCGGAGCUCGCCUUCCAUCUUCUUCGACCUUUUCAUCAAAUGAAGAACUUCCUUCUUCAGGCGCUGGAUCGUGGACUUCAGCAGAAUCCCCU